GUGGGGAAUAUUGGACAAUGGGCGAAAGCCUGAUCCAGCCAUGCCGCGUGUGUGAAGAAGGUCUUCGGAUUGUAAAGCACUUUAAGUUGGGAGGAAGGGCAGUAAGUUAAUACCUUGCUGUUUUGACGUUACCGACAGAAUAAGCACCGGCUAACUUCGUGCUAGCAGCCGCGGUAAUACGAAGGGUGCAAGCGUUAAUCGGAAUUACUGGGCGUAAAGCGCGCGUAGGUGGUUUUGUAAGUUGGAGGUGAAUUCCCCGGGCUCAACCUGGGAACUGCCUCCAAAACUGCAUGACUAGAGUACGGUAGAGGGUAGUGGAAUUUCCUGUGUAGCGGUGAAAUGCGUAGAUAUAGGAAGGAACACCAGUGGCGAAGGCGACUACCUGGACUGAUACUGACACUGAGGUGCGAAAGCGUGGGGAGCAAACAGGAUUAGAUACCCCAGUAGUCC
rnacentral:rRNA from 1 species